GACGAACGCUGGCGGCGUGCUUAACACAUGCAAGUCGAACGGAGUGGCGAACGGGUGAGUAACACGUGGGUGACCUGCCCUGCACUUCGGGAUAAGCCUGGGAAACUGGGUCUAAUACCGGAUAGUGUGGGAUGGGCCCGCGGCCUAUCAGCUGGUUGGUGGGGUAAUGGCCUACCAAGGCGGCGACGGGUAGCCGGACUGAGAGGGGGGCCGGGCACGUUGGGACUGAGACACGGCCCAGACUACUUCGGGAGGAAGCCGGGGGGAAUAUUGCACAGUGGGCGGAAGCCUUAUGCAGCGACGCGGCGUGGGGGAUGACGGCCUUCGGGUUGGAAACUCCUUUCACCAUCGACGCGGUAGCUGGAGAAGAAGCACCGGCUAACUACGUGCCAGCAGCCGCGGUAAUUC
rnacentral:rRNA from 1 species